rnacentral:lncRNA from 1 species
GAGCAGUCCCUUCAUGAAACCACAGCAGAUGUUUCUCAGUCCUUUCAUUUUCUUUUUUCAGAGGAAUUGUAAUCGGCUGCGCUUUAAUUAGGAUCUCCCCGAGGAUACUUCGGCUUUCUUCCACACCCGGGAGUUUGCAGAUUCCCUCUUAGUGCACCAGGCUGAUUAGAUUUCUUAAUUCCCUAAAAUAUGCUGUCUCGAAGCCUAAUACCCCUGUAGGGAUGAGGUCUGUUUCUCUGCCUCUCCUCCCAUUACAGUGCUAAAUCCAGGCAGUGGUCUCCCUUACGGCACUUGCUUCUUCCCUGGCUCCGGACCCCUUUUUUGGAUGGCCUGCAAACCUUCUGACAAAGAAGCAGCCUUGAAAAGACAAAAUGGAUCCAGCAGGGAAUUAGACAGAAAAUAUUUACAGACUCGGUGAACCAAGAGCUGGGUGUUCCGGGCUGUUGAAGAAAAUGGAGUAAUGGGAUAGAAGCUGCUUUCAACUUCCUGCUGAGGACCCAAGGCCAGGAAAAAAGAAAAUUUUUGGAUAUCAGAAAUCAGAACAGGCCUGGAGUUGGGGAAUAAAUUAGGAAAGACACGGACUCAAGCAAAGGAAGACAUCAGAAGUAGAGGUUGGCCAAAGGACAAAACUACAAAGCAGCAAUUGCAGAUUGAAUCAAAUCAUCAGCUACUGGACAUUACAACAUUCACCAUGGAGAGUAACAAUAAUAUGCAUUUAUCAGAACUUCACUAUGUGCCAGGCACAACAUUUUAUGGAAGAUGAACAGGUAGAUAGACAAACAGAUAUGAGUACAUAGCUAGGUAAGUUGGUAGAUAGGUAGCAGGAUUCUCUGUCUCCCUAUUCCUUCUGGUAAGAAGAUAAAAGCUAAUGACUUCAAAAGCAUAACUGUGCAUUCAAUAUUCAUAGAAAGGGUCUGUGUGUGGUAGGAAAGAGACACAGGACAGGCAUGCUUGUCAAUUAAAAGAUUACGGUAGUGUGGUAAACUAGCCUUAUAAGCCUGGGUGAGGAUUAUUGGUGCAGUAUUAACCCUCACAGGAAUAGAUACCCAGUUACGUUUUACUACUCCAGGCUGUUGAAGACAACUGGAAUAAAAAGUCAAGGCAGUGGCCAGAUGCAGUGGCUUAAGCCUGUUAUCCCAGCACUUGGGGAGGCCGAGGUGGGCAGAUCACCAGAGAUCAGGAGUUUGAGACUAGCCUGGCCAACGUGGUGAAACCCCACCUCUACUAAGAAUACAAAAAAUUAGCCAGACAUUGUGGUGAGUGCCUGUAGUCCCAGCUACUCAGGAGGCUGAGGCAGGAGAAUCACUUGAACCUGGGAGGCAGAGGUUGCAGUGAGCCGAGAUCGCACCAUUGCACUCCAGCCUGGGCAACAGAGCGAGACUCUGUCUCAAAAAAAAAAAAAAAAAAAAAAAAAAAUCAAGAAGGAACCCAAGGCAGAUGGUUCUCAAGUCUUCCCCCUAUGCCACUUCGCCUUUGCAGUUUUCCAUCUCCUCCACCCAGCAACAGAAGCAGAUGCAGGAAUCCUGAGAUACAAAAGGAGGCUGAAAACUCGAUAAUUGCUAGGGAAUAAUGAUAGUCUAAGAAAGAAGGAGAGUAGGAGGGAAGGGGGCUUGGUGAGAAAGAUGGGAGUCUGCUCCACAUUCUUCCCUGGCUGGGAGAUUGUCUGCAAGGGCACCUGGAGGCUGGCAGCUGGUACUAUGAGCUGCUAUUAAAGCCCUGUUAUCC